rnacentral:rRNA from 1 species
UACGUAGGGUGCAAGCGUUAAUCGGAAUUACUGGGCGUAAAGCGUGCGCAGGCGGGCUUUUAAGCCAGACGUGAAAUCCCCGGGCUUAACCUGGGAACUGCAUUUGUGACUGCAUAGCUAGAGUACGGUAGAGGGGAUGGAAUUCCGCGUGUAGCAGUGAAAUGCGUAGAUAUGCGGAGGAACACCGAUGGCGAAGGCAAUCCCCCUGGACCUGUACUGACGCUCAUGCACGAAACGCGUGGGGAGCAAACAGG